ensembl:lncRNA
AUGUCAAUAUUUACCCCAUCAGCUUCAACAACUACAAUGGGACCAAGGGCUACCACGAAACAGGUGACAACACCUCCAACUCUUACUACCCCUUAUGUGGACCCACCUUUUGGUACUAAACCCCUGGAAAGUGGAUUUGCAAUUCUUCAUGUCGCUGUCAAAUCUCAUCAGGAGCUAAAUGAGACAACAGUUGCUUCUUUCUUCAGUCAGGUAACAUUUAGACCACAGUUGAUCCAGUCUAGAGUCAGCUGACAUUUAGACCACAGUUGAUCCAGUCUAGAGUCAGCUGACAUUUAGACCACAGUUGAUCCAGUCUAGAGUCAGGUAACAUUUAGACCACAGUUGAUCCAGUCUAGAGUCAGCUGACAUUUAGACCACAGUUGAUCCAGUCUAGAGUCAGCUGACAUUUAGACCACAGUUGAUCCAGUCUAGAGUCAGCUGACAUUUAGACCACAGUUGAUCCAGUCUAGAGUCAGCUGACAUUUAGACCACAGUUGAUCCAGUCUAGAGUCAGCUGACAUUUAGACCACAGUUGAUCCAGUCUAGAGUCAGCUGACAUUUAGACCACAGUUGAUCCAGUCUAGAGUCAGGUAACAUUUAGACCACAGUUGAUCCAGUCUAGAGUCAGCUGACAUUUAGACCACAGUUGAUCCAGUCUAGUGUCAGCUGACAUUUAGACCACAGUUGAUCCAGUCUAGAGUCAGGUAACAUUUAGACCACAGUUGAUCCAGUCUAGAGUCAGCUGACAUUUAGACCACAGUUGAUCCAGUCUAGAGUCAGCUGACAUUUAGACCACAGUUGAUCCAGUCUAGAGUCAGCUGACAUUUAGACCACAGUUGAUCCAGUCUAGAGUCAGCUGACAUUUAGACCACAGUUGAUCCAGUCUAGAGUCAGGUAACAUUUAGACCACAGUUGAUCCAGUCUAGAGUCAGCUGACAUUUAGACCACAGUUGAUCCAGUCUAGAGUCAGCUGACAUUUAGACCACAGUUGAUCCAGUCUAGAGUCAGGUAACAUUUAGACCACAGUUGAUCCAGUCUAGAGUCAGCUGACAUUUAGACCACAGUUGAUCCAGUCUAGAGUCAGGUAACAUUUCCUCAUUCAAUCAUGGUGUUUUUUUAAAUAUUAUUUAAAUGUUUAUCUAUAUCCCAGGUAGCAUAUUUUAUAUAAAGUUCCAAUGCAUAUGAUUGAUCUAUUAUACAAUUAUUUAUAUUGGAAAAUAAGAUCUAGAGUAGAUGAGCUUGAGUUGAACUAAAUAGUGAUCUAUUUUCUCUACUAGAUCUACGACAUCGUUCGGGCGAAGCGACCUGAUCUGAAAUUUCGACUGACCGUGAAAACUGUCCAGAAAGUUUGAUGGAUUAUGAUCCAAGGCAUAGCAGAUUGAAGUUCUAGUGGUACAUCAUGUUCUGCAGAUUAAGAACUAUUGUACUGUAUUUUCAAUGAUUUUAUGCUGUUUAUCAGUCAUUAUAUUCAUGUUAAUAAUAUAUUUGAAUGUAUAAUUUCAUUGACUUACUGACUUGCUGCACGUUCCAAUCACCAUCUGGGGGAGGAGCUGUAAUUCAAGAGUUAUGUCACAACUUUUCCCACUUUCAUAGAAUCUUGUCAUCUGCUUCCAGUGUUUUCUGAUGGAUUUGAUGUUGGACUGAAUAGUCCUAACUACUGUAAUCUUUUCUUUGGCUAUAAACAUGUUACAAAUACUGCAACUGUCUGUUCUCACACUCAUGUUAAUUCAAUGGAUCUGACUUCAGUCUUUUUUAAAAUAUCAAACAUAAGGUGACUUCCCUGAAAAGAACAGUCCAACCCAACCCCCCAAAAAUGUUUAUGUAACUUUUCAUUCAUAUAA